CCUUGUUGGCUUUUUAAAAUUUUUUUUUAAAUAAUUUUAUUUGGAAAUAAUCUCAAAGUUACAGAAAAAUUACAAGAAUAAGAAUGAUGCAUCCAAGGUGGCCUCAAAACCCUUCAUUUAGAUUCACGUGUUCACAUUUUGCCCUGCUUACUCUGUCAUUCAUGUUCUUGAGUGUGCUGUCUCUCUCUGCACCAGUAUCAUGGCCUUUAGUACUUCAGUGGGUAUGUCCUAAGGAUAAGUAUAUUCUAAUUGAGCACAUUGAACACUGAUACAAUACCUAAACCUUCCAUUUGUGUUUCAUUUGACCUCGUAACAUCCUUUAUACCAUUUCCCCUCCAGUUCUGGAUCCAGUCAAGGACCAGGUGUUAUAGUUAGCUGUCCUAUCUCUUUGGUCUCCUUUAAUUUGGAACAUUGCCAUAGCUUUUAAUCUUAUGACAUUGACAUUUUGGAAGAAUAUAGUCCCUUCUUUUAAAUGCGCUGCUCAUUUUGGGUUUAUCGGAUGUUCCCUCUUGGUUAGAUUAGGUUUUGCAUUCCAGGUGGCUGGAGCACUAUCCAUGUCAUGCGUCCUCUCAGGGUGUAACAACGGGAGCACACAAUGUCAUCUGGCCCACGAUGGUGAUGUUCAUUUUGAUCACCUGGUGUAGCAUUCAGGGCCCAGUGAGGGAAAAGUGUAAACAGGAAAUGAUAGAAACAAUUGCUAACUGGUAAAGAUUGGUUAACUAUGAAAAAGGGCUAAAGGGGAAAAAAAAAGGCCCUAAAGCAGCUUAGUAGGAAACAGCUGCAACCCAGAGGGUCAAGAGAGAGAGGACAAGCAACUAGGAAACUUAGAGCAGGGCCCUGCAAGUCUGAGGGUCCAGCCUCUGACAGGAGCAUGCCGCCUGCCCUGUGCUGCAGGGUAGAGUGCCCGGAGGUGCCUGGCACUGAGCCAGGAGGGCAGAAUGCUGGCACUGUGGAGAAUGCUGCCGGCACCCAUGCCAGACUGAAACGCAGUCUCCUUUAGCCCGGCCAUUCUCUUCACAGGCCCCUCUUGGCUAGCUGGUGGAAGAGGAAUGUCCCAGUGUGGCAAGUAAGGGAGACGCAGGGCAAGACUGACACACUUGGUUAAGGUGGUUUCUACUCUGAAGGGUGGAGUUACAACUCAGGCCAUUUCUGGAGAUGUUCUACUGUAAGACAAAUGUUUAACUAUCCUGCUCCUCAUCAAACUUCCUUCAUGGUUUAGCAAAGAUUGCAGUCUGACCUAAUUCAGGCUUUCUUUUGAUGAUUGUUGUUUUAGAUUUUUUAGAUUUCAUCUUUCCUGUGAUGGUUGUAAAACACUGUUCCAUUCUGGCACUCCUUCCUUAUGUACCACUCUGUCCUCCCUCCCUUCUCCCCCAGUUAUUUUAUAUAUCUGUUUAUAUUUGUUAUGGACUGAUGGAUUCCCAUUUUUUCCAGUGAUCUAGAAUAUCUUAUUUUCCUUUUAUGUUUUGUUUUUGGUUCUCAAAUAGUUCCACAUUUGGCCACUGGGAGCCUCUUCAGGUUGCUUUCUGUGUCCCGACAUUUUUGUUGAACAUUUUUGUAAUUUUUGACUUAAUAAGAUGUUCCAGGCUCUUCUUGUACCCCUGGUGCCCAGUCCUGGAGUCAGUUUCUGAGAAGCCUUGGUCCCUGGCACAACCUGUGCUCAUUACUACCGGGGUGUCUUUGCCUCUCAGCCUAUCAGAGCUUGUCUCACUCUUAAAAUUAUCCCCCCCCCUUUUUUUUGUUUGUUUUCCAAAAGUAACAGUGUUUUUAAAAAUGUAAACCAUAACAGACAUCUAUGAAGAAAAACAUACCCACAGGUAGACAAGUAUAGCAAUGGUGUGUAUCCUUCCAGACUAUUUACAUAUAUAAAACCAGAUUUGGUGGUGGGGUUUAGUUUUGCUUUUGACUAAUAUAUGAAUUCUGUCCUACAAGGUCUUUUUUCCUUCUUCACCACAUAGUAUGUACUCUAUAUCAGAAUGUAGACUUCUGACAUUUUUGUUAGCUCCAUGGAUAUAUUAGUAUCAUGCUUAACAUUCAGAUGGAAUCCAGCGGACAUUCAGAUGGAAUCCAGCCUUGCUGCAGUGGGCACUUCCAUAUACCUACUGUGAGUCAUUUCAACUUUUUUUAUUGAUUUUUAAAAACUCUUUAUUGAGGUGAAAUUCACAUAGUGUUCACUUAACCACUUUAAAGUGCCCAGUUCAGUGGCAUUUAGCACACUCACAGUAUUGUGCAGCCACCUCCUCUCUCUGGUUCCAAAGCAUUUACAUCACCCAUGUUGUGCAUUUUUAUUUGGACUCAAGGAUGGAAUCUUAGUAGUGGGUUUACUCUGGACCAAAAGCCACAGUGAAGGGUUUUUCGUAGCUACAUCCACUCGCCCUCCAAAAAGGUUAUUCCAGUUUAUAUUCCCACUAGCAAAUGAAAAUGCAUUUCCCUUUAUCCUCGUUGACACUUUGGGUGUUAUCAGCCUUUAUUUUUCUUCCAAUCUGAUAGAUAAAAAUAUGUAUUUUUUGACUAGUAGCUAGGCCCAGGAUGUUUUCAAAGAUGCCUCAGUCAUUUGUGUCUGUUGGAUUUCCAGUUUCUGUCAUCUGCCUAGUUUGAUACGUUGUUAGCAGUGGGGUUUUUUUCCCUUACAGGGCUGUUUACUUAGGAAACUUUUCCGUGAAAUUCAGUGCCUGUUGCUGCUGUGGUGUGUGAGCUAAUCUUCCUGAUCUGUUUCCUGACUGGUUAUUGUUGGUGUGUAGGAACACCUGCACUUCGGAUUCAUUGAGCUUGUGUCCAGUAUCCAGUGGUUCUUGAAAACAGUUUGUAUCUUCUGGGUGACUCUUUAUUGCAGUGUCUCUGAGGUCUCCCGAGGGUGUUUGUGACCUUGUAGAAACACCUUAAGGUUUACCUACUGAACACCUUUCUGGACAUGCUGAGUGCAUCGCUAGUGGUGGGGAAAUGGACUCACACACAGGUCCUUCUCUCCUGAGUUUAUUUGCUGAAAGGAAAGUGGGUAUGGAAAUUAUAAUAAUAGGAUAGAAGAGAAACUGUUUAUCUUUGCAUCCCCAGUACCUGGCACAUAGUAGGCCCUGAAUGUCUGAAAUAAGACACUGUGGUGCCAUAAGAAUAUGAUUUUCGUUUUUCUCUUUUUUUAAGCUGAGGAGCCCAUUAGCCAGAAAGGUUCUUAUCCCUGGCUGCAUAUUAGAAUCACCAGGAGAAUGUUUAAAAUAUUUAUGCUCAAACUUAGCUGGCAGAGAAUUGGUUUCAGUCUGUCCAAGGUGAGGCCAAAGCAUGAGCAUUUUAAAAAGACUUGUUAGUAACUCCACUGCUUGUCUGCCACGUAAACUCUAUGAGUAGAGCUUGAGGUGGAGCGGGGCUCCCUCGCUCUUCCCGUUGGCUCCCAGCAGGGUUUGCUGGGCACAGUUUGAAAGCCAAGUCAUCCCUUUGAGCAUGUGGAGGCUGGUGUCCCCACCUGCUGGUGACAGUUUUGUUCGGGGCUUGUGCUGCUGCCUCACACGCCAGGAUGGGAACGAGGCAGACAUCCUGGUUCAGCCAGGGGAGCUGGCUCCCCUGUGCUGAGGUCGCAGGGCCUGGGAAUAGCUAUGGGAAGGUGGUGGGAAUUAGGUGUUGGGCCUCUGUGCAUCUUGUUUGGCCAAAUAAUGGAUUGCUUCUCCUUUACUCCUUGUCACCUUUGGAAGGGACUUCCUGGUGUAAUCACAGCUCUCCAGAGGGCAUGCUGUGUGAGGAUGGUUAUGCCAAGCCCAGAGUUGCUGUUGAUGAUAGCCAAGAUUCAGAAGUGGUGGGCCUUUUUGUUAAAAAUGGCUUUUAGGUAGUGCUUUUAUCUAAUUUGAGCUUCAUGGGGUUAGCAACUUACACAGAGGGCUUAUUGCACCUGUAUUACUGAUGAUGAAAAUGUGGUCCAGAGAAACGGCAACUUGCCUAAGAGCACACAGGGAAGCCUGGGCCUGGCUCCACUCUGAUGUUCUUCAGGGGCCAUUCUCUACCCUCCCCGCUCCAUCUGUCUGAGCAGCCCUCUGUUGGGAAGAGGGCUGUAGUUAUUUGUACCCCCUGUUACACACAUGCCAGCCCCCUCUUUGUCUGGCACCAUCUCUUCUGCUGGGAGGGCUGUCGGUCCAUUGAUUGGUUCACAGCCGCUGAAGCUCUGACCCUCCUGGUGCCCAGAGUGGAGAACGCUGCAGAGGCAAUGAAUCUGACUUAGAUUCAUUUGUGGGUUUUUUCCCUGGGAUGAAUUGUGACCCCUAAGUUGCUUUUAGUUCCAUUCUCUCACUCCCUGCAUGACUGGAGCGCAGGCUCUGUUAUCUAACACUCAUUACCCAAGUGCCCUCUGGGACCUGUAGACACUGCAGCACCUGUCAGAGAGAUGAUGAUAAAUAUCUAGGCCAAAAGUUUUUAAAAAAUCUAUGCAGUCGAAUGGAAUGCUCAAUCAAGAUGACAAGGUAUUUUCAGAGAAUAAAUAAAGCACUGAUACCUAACUUUCUCUUUUUCUUCCCUCUUGGCUGCCCAUACAUCACCUGACCCUGGUGGUCAGUCUUCUCAGCUGCCCUGCCUCUUCUGGGCCUUUGCUCAGGCUUUGUCCCUGCUUGCUAACCCCUACUCUGCCUCCUGCUCUGCCUGGGGAGGACCUGUCCGUCCUCAAGGUCUGGUUCAGCUCAGAAGUCGCUGCUCACCUCCUUCCUUUCCCCUCUUCCUGCUCCUGUCUUACAGCCUGUAAGUUACCAAGUCCUGUUGAUCUGCUUCCCUUGUCCUUCCAGAAUUGUUCUGCAGCCCCAUUGUCACUUCCCAGACAAGCCACCAUCACCUCUGUGUUGGGUAGCCUGGGCCUGGCCUCCUGCUCCCAUCUCACCAUGCUUGCUGUCUGCCUUGUGUCCGAGGGAUUACGGCAUCUGUGUAUCCCUCUCUGGAAUGAGUGAGCUCUUUGAAGGCACCCCUUUAUCUUUGCACCCUUUGCCCCCCAUUAUCAAAUACAGGGUCAAUCAGGUCUCGUACGUGGCCAUCCCAGGCAAGAAUUUUCAUAGGCCUUUAUACACUGACUACUCUGUCCUUCGCAGAGUAUAAGACCAAGCAUAAGAUUACAUUUUCUUUCUGAACAUCCCUAUUUAUAAAUGUCAGAUGGAUCAGGACAUUCGGUCACUUCUUUUGUAGGAUAUGCCUUACAAGGGAAAAGGACAUUUUCAGAAGGAUUUAAGCCUCAGUCUGAUUUUUCUCAGAAGCCCAGCGCCUUUCCCUACCCCAACUGCCACACAUCCUGUGGUCGAAGCACUGGUGGGUGACACCCAGCGAAGGGCCAGCUGGAGUCCUGCUUCCAGGGUCCUACCCUGUCCCGGGCUGCCUUGGGCUGUUCCACCCCUGCCUGCCCCAGCAUGAGUAGUACUCGGGCGGAAACAACCCUUUCACUGCUUAAUAGACUCGUGAGGUGCCCACGCCCAAGACAGCGGAGAGGCUACACUCCAAAGGCACUUUCCCUCCCAGAAGAACAAAGCCUGUCCCCUCUUCACCAGGUGCCAUGUUUGCUUAGUCACACACACUUGUUUGCUCAGCUGAGGAAGAUGAGGCAUGGCUGGAAGUCUGCAGGGGCCAUGGGAGCAGCCCCCUUUAAGGGGCCCUCCUUGCCCUCUGCCUGGUACAGACCUUGGUCAGAGGCCUCAUUUUUGUUACCGUGGCACUUAACAUUUGCCUGGGCAUGUGGGCUUUUGUGGGCGCCACAAGCUGCCUGUCACCAGAAAUAUUCACGCUGAUGGUGGUACCCAGUGUCCAGUGCCCGUCUGGGGCAGGCAGGCAGGCAUCGUGCAGGAGGUCAGAUUAGAUUCUCCCAGAGGCUCUUCUGGUUCUGGAUCCUGGAGAUUCCAGUGCUGACCCUCACUUCCUUCUCCGUCACACAUGAACCCUCUCAGCCCAUGGUGGGCUACUGCAGGCGGGCAGGAGCAGAAAGGAACCCCCUUUCCUCUCUCAGAAUAGCCUCCCUGUUUCCUUGGUUUUUCUUGGGUCACCUAUUCUCAGAAGUCUCAUGACUGCUCUCAACCUCAGGACAUUUCCUGUACUGUCAUUAACUUUCUGGGCUGCUUGGUCUCUUGACUGAGUCAAGAGCUCCUUGAAUAAAGCAAGGGACUGAGGCUUUACUCCUCUUGCUCACAUGGGGCAGACCACAGAAGCUUACAAAUGAGCAAGCAAAGGAACAGUCCUAGAGAAGGGUGGUCUGCAGGGGACAGUAACCGCCUUCAGCAGAAUCUCUCAAGGUGUGCACAGUGGAGGAGUAUGGCAUGUCCCCCUUCUGCCCCUGCAGUCUGGCCCCUUGUGCUGACAGUGUUGGGCUCCCACAGGCAAGUGAGGGGGAGGCCCGGGACUGAGGAGCCAUCAGUUCACAACGCUCUCUCCCUGACACCCACUCCUAGUGCCUUCGGCAAGGGUGGAGACUUCUGUGGCCAGAGCAGGACUUUGGCAGGCCUUGGCCAGCAGUGGAAGUUGUGUUUCUGGGGGCCUGGGUCCAAAUAAGAGAAAGGCCUGAGAGCAUGUAGAACAGAAGAGGAGUGGUCCCCGCAGGGCCCAGAGCUGGCCUGCAUGGGCUCUGGAGCCCCUGCCUGGGUGGGAUUUGCCGUGUCUGACGGGGAGUGGCACAGGCUGCAGUGGCUUCCCGGUGCCUCAGCUGGGGGUGGAAGACAGGAUCACUUGUACCCACGAGGUGCUAAGCCUGUCUUCCUGGACUCUACACCAUGGCCCCUUCACCUCCAGGGGACCCAUUGCCUGUUUCCUUCCCAGACUGAGCUUGGCUCAUCCCCAGAAUGUUCUAGGCAUUUCUGUCUCCUCCCUGUGUGCCCAUAUUUACCCCACCCUGAUGCUCUUUUCUUCUUUGUGCCCUGUCUGUUGCUGUUGUUCCAACACCUGUUUUUAGUCCCUCUGCCCAAAGAAGCCUAGUGCCCCAUUGCAGGUCUCCUGAGCCCUUUCUCAUCGCCCCACCCUGUCCUCCCAACCCCUGCAGCCUUCUCCCAUUUGCCCGCAUGUGAGUGUGUCUCCCUCACAGUCUGGGAGUUCCCAAACUGGGGCCGGGCUCUUCUCCCCACCAGCAGACCUCAAGACAGACUGGACUGGGCCUCCGUGAGGACACUCAAAACCUCGGAAAACCAACCCCGGCCCAGCUGAGGGGCUCAUUCUGGCUGUGGCCUGUUCUUGGCACCCAUGGCCCCAACCGGAGGGCACAGAGGCUGACCCACAGACCCUUUCCUGCAGGUAGCCCCAGCCUCCAUCAGCGCGCCUGCCCCUGCACGCACACCUAGGCAGACAUAGGCCCUCGUACCCUUCAUCAUUUGCUCAGCACAGGUACACAGAGGCCACUCCUAAGUGGCAGCUGCUGUUCUAAGGGCACAUUCCCCCAGCACACUUCCAGGGCACGUGCCUCUGUGUGACCACGCUUAGGCAUAUGUGGCCCUCCUGAGGAAGGGAGGGUGAGGGCCUCACCUGGGCCGUGUAGUCAUAGAGCACCCUGUAUCCCUGGGCUGGCAGGGUUGGGGGGCCCGGCGCCUCCUUCACUGCGAUGGCAGAGUAGACAACCUCAUUGUGUUCAGGCAUUGGGGUCAGGGUCUCUGUAGAGGCGAAAAGCAGCAUGAGAGGCCUGGAGCCCACCCAUCAGAGGCCAUGAUCCCCGGAGACACCCCUGGCAUGGAGCUUCCCCAGGCUUGGAUGAGCCACCCCACAAAAGCAUUUGGACAGCCCAUCCAUGCCAUAAGGAGUCUUCUCCUUUCCCCUGGGGUUAGUUGUUCCGCAGCCCCCAUGUCACCCCCGGUCACCUGCAGAAGCUGCCAGUGAUAUAGUCUUGGGACUUCCAUGCAGCAGCCCAGAGAACCUGGGGACAAGAAGGAAAGUGGCCCUGGAGGGAGGGGGAUGAGGCAGGGGGCCCGCAAAGCUUCAGGGCUAGGGCCAUAUGGCCCUCAGGCACAGAGCAAUAUGGAGUGUCCCUCAGGCCAGAGGGCUCUCCCAAGGGUGGUCCCCUCAGAGUUCAGCCCACUCAUGCCCCGCUGGGACCUUCUCCUGCCUGGACCCAGCCAAUCCUAUCUCCCUGCGCUCCACCGUGACCCGGCCAGCCCAGCCACUCCCUGACCAUGCAAUGUAGGGACUCCAGUGUCCACAUGAGGCAGUGCCAGGGUAAUUCACCCCUUCCCCUGUGCCUGGCUCAGGUCUGGGCUGAGCAGGAGUCAUGAAGUUUUGUUGAAUAAAACAAUGGAACAAGCAAGAAGCAGACACUCUGUGCACCGGUGGGGAGGCAGAUGUGGCUACCCCAUGAAGCAGGCAGUGCUAAGGGCUACAUAAGUCGAGGCUGACGCUAUUCCCAGCAUCAGGAAAGGCUUCCAGGUGGGGUCGAGCCAAAUCCUGAAAGAGCUUUACCAGGGAGAUGGCACAAGUCUUGGCCAGUGAGCGGCAGCAGCGCAGGGGGGGCUCCGCAUGGGUGGAGGAGUUUGUGGAGUGGGCGCGUCUGGGGGUGUGGGAGACAAGACUGGAAUAGGCACCAGGCCAGACCCCAAGGGGCCCUGAGUGUGGCUCGGGACUGUGGGAGACUGUCCUGGAGUGCUACCUGGGGCACAAAGGGCCUUUCCCACAGGUGGGGACACUCAGUGAUCCCACCCCCACAAAUGAGCCCUGGGCCUGGAAGUGGACACACAUGCCCAGGAUGGAGACACAGAGACAGGCGCAUGUAGACCUCAGGCCAGGCAUCUGCAACAGCAGUGGCAUAGUCCCGUCCCUUGGGCCACUGAGUCAGGGUAAAAGCCAGCAGGCCUGUGACUGGGAGAAGCAGAGGUCAUGGGCCCCCCCACUGCCCGUUUCUCUAGAAUUAUCUAACCCUGUGACACCAGUUCCUUUAGGCACUUCCCAGCUGCUGCACACCCCUCCCCCGCUGAGCCUGGCUUCUACCUGGCCCCUGUAGUGGCCCCUGCCCAUCCUGCCAGGGGCCAGGCCCCCUCCACCCGGUCGGGCGUCCCUCUCUCUCGUCCUCAGGAAGACACCCCUUUCUCGACACCGCCCCAGAUGAGCUCUUCCAUCCAGUCGUUUAAAUGACCAUCUGUGUUGAACUCCAGGUUCUCCCCAGGGCUGCAGGGAGGCCCGAGUCCCCCACGAUUCCACCAGGUGACACAGUGGCGCAUGGUACAAGGGGCCUCUGCAGCCAGGCCAGAGAAGAGGCCCUGAGAAGCCCGGGGAACUCUCCCAAGAAUCUCCGGCCUGUUCCUGUGCCCUGGUCCUGCCCCAGCUGGAGAGUGUCACCACUGCAGCGUGACUGUCCAGGGCACCAACCCAGGGUAGCAGCCCGGCCCAAGAGACAUGGAAGCCAGCCUGGAGUCUCCCUGGAGCUCCAAGUACAGUCACUGGUGAGUAGUGGGCUGUGAUUAUUUGCUUAAUGUCUGGGACCCCUUUGGGCUGCAGGUAUCAUGAGCCACAUUGAGUCUGUCUUGUCCCCAGAGUGCCCAAGACCUAACACAGCACCAGGUUCACAGCAGGAGCUCAAUAAAUACAUGUGGAAGAGCCACUUGCAGGUGGGAAGAUUAGACCCCCUUCCUGGUGCCUCCCCAGCCCCAUCAGGCUCCUCACCUCUUUAUCAUGCCGCAGGAUGGCUGGACGCCAGGGCUGCCCGAUGACGGGGUGACCUCCCGAUCAUAGUAGUUCUGGUAGGGCACAGGAGCUGUGGGCAGCAAGCUGGUGAGGCCCACGGUGGCCGAGGACAGGGCAGGCAGGACCUGUGCCACCUGAUACUGCAACUUGUCCCCAUCCAGAGACCCAGACUGAGGCCCCACUUUCCCAUUCUGGCCCAAGGCUGCCUCCGGGCAGGGAAGGGGCCGCUCUCACUUCUAUGAGACAUGGAACCAAAGAGGUUCUAAGAGGGGUCCCCAUCCCUACUCCCCCUUCUGAGUGUUGCGGCAGGCAAGGAACCCAGCUAGGGGCCUGCAUUGUCCCCGACCCCUCCUCUGGGUCUGCCAAGGCUUCUUCGCCCAGAAGUGAGCUGUGAGCUGCCCUGUCUUGUCCCAGCAGUGGAGGCUCAGCUGGGGCCAGGCAUCCUUGGGACAGAUGGGGCUGGCCCCAACGGCUGUGCUGCCGCGGGCUGGGCCUCACCUGGGGGCUCAGUGCCUGUGCUCUUGGCUUGGAUGAAGCCAUCGAUGUCGGCUUCCACGCUGCAGCCUUCUAGUGUCACCCGCACCUCCUCGUAGAGCUGGGGUUGGGAAAGAGCAGAGGCUGAGGGUCCUUGAUGUCCACCCUCGUCCAAGUCCUGCUCCUCAGUGGGCCUGAACUCUGGCCAGGGACCCCCAUCCCACCAGCCUCCUCUCGGGCCUUGUGUGCACGGCUCAGUGUCUGCAUUUGGGCACCAUGGCAUGAAGGGUCAGAGCCCUGGCUGCCAACUUAUCCUGGUUCCUAAACACUAGCUAUGCACAAGGUCCUGUGCGAGGGGUGUACCUCUCUCCUGCCCUCGGAAGUAGACACCGCUUUCCCCACUUCACAGACAAGGAAACAGGGCAAGUGUCUUGCCCAAGGUCCCAGAGCAAGAAUUCAGUGCAGCCAGACUGGAUUUCAUUUGACAGGAUCCAAAGCCCACACUCCUUCUGCCACAAGGAGGCCACCAGGUGAGCUCAAGUCAUUUUCAGGGGAGAAAACUCCAAACCCCGUAGUCCAUGGGCAGAAGGGGUCAGGCAAGGAACAGCAGUGGGCAUCAGGGAGUCCCAACUACCUCAGAAGAAAGCUCAUGGCUCUCAGGCUGCAUUAACAGAGGUCAGAGCCCCCGGUGUGGAAGUGGCAGUCCCAAUUUCCUGGGGGAACCCCCCUGAUACUCCUGGCAUAUAGAGUGCAGUAAGGGGAACCAGGACACCCCACAGGGACUGGGGGCAGAGGAGAGACUCUUGCAAGCACCAGGUGUGGAGUAAGCUGCCCAGGGUCUUCCAGCCUCUCUGCAAAGCUCUAAAAUGCAGUGUCCACUGGCCUCCCCAACCCCAACAGGGGGGACAGGCACUCUGCAGCCCUGAGAGCAGAGCCAAGGACCGUGGAGCAGAGUAAGCAAGGAGGCAGAUGCCUGGGCAACCCCUGAAGCAGCCUUCCAGGUAGGGAGGCCUGGGCCCUGCACCGAGCCCCUGUCCUUGGGACCCUGAGUGUUUGUUGAUGGACUCAGAUGGACCCAGGCAUGCUGCUGUCUGCAGGCUGCCCUCCCCUCACACCCCACCCCUGGCUUACUCCCUGCCCCUCCCUGCCCAUGCCCCCCCACCUCAUCAUCCUUGACACACUGCAAGGACAGCUGGUUGCAGUGCACCCACAUGGCGUUGCGAAGGAUGGUCAGUCGGUCAGACUCUUGCAGCUGGAAGGCCUGGGAGGUGGAGGCGGGAUGGUAUUGAGAAGUGAGGAAGGGCUUCAGGGCCAGGCCAGACUUGGCACUGCUCCACCCAGCUGGUGCUGACUAGCUUACACCCUGCUCUGCUGAAAGCCAAGUCCAAAGGAAACACCCUUCUUGGGGGAUCCCCAUCCCCACCUCAGAAGCCUGAGGCUUCUGGUUCCUGCCCUCACCCUCCCUCCAGGCUCCACCACACACUGGGAAAAAGUCCUGGGGAGUGUUGUAAGAGGAGCACUAGACCCGGAGCCCUGAAGCCUUUGUCCCAGGCCUUGUCUACCAACAGGACCCAGAGAAGCUAUGAGUUUUGUCUGAGCCUCAGUUUUGCCUUCAGCAAAAAAGGGGGAGGGAUGCCUGCCUAUAACAAAGGGGCCCAGGGCACAAAGCAAGAUGGUGAGUUCCCAGAGACAUGGACCCAGCACGGGGCCUGGGAAGAGAGUAGACGGGUGAAUGAGGGAAUGAGGUCUUCCUCUCACCACUGCCUUGCUUGCCCCCAUGAAGCAGCUGGAGGAAUGAACAUCUUUCCCAUUUUGCAGCUGGGAAAACAGGCUCCAUGCCCGAGGUCACUCACCUCACAGGUGGUCCGGUGCUCCUGCUCCCACUCGCCCCGCACCUUCUCCAACUGCUCAAUGUUCUGCUUGUACACUCGCUCUGGAAGCACAGGUGGUCCUCAAGGAGGCCAAGGACCAGGCACACUCCCCGACCCCUACCCCUUUGCUCCUACAGUGCCACUGUAUGUACAGAGUGCCCUCCAGAUCCUUGGAGUGCCCCCUCCUCCCGCAGACCUGCCCUGGCUUGUGGUGCCUCAUCUGAAUGCCUGUUAUGGCCACCUAUUCUGGUAUCGGUCUUUUGAAGGUGACUCUUAACUUCCCACUGUGCUCUGAGCUGCCCAGUGCUACAGUCGAGCCCAUCCCUCAAGAUCAGAGUUCAGGCCUCUUGUCAUCCCUGGGUCCCACCCCCUCACCCUUCGUAGAUGGGAAAGUGAGGCCUGGAGAAGGCAGCACUGAAGGAGGUAGGAGCAUGGGAGCUGCGGGAUGGAACCCAGCAGGUUUGGCCAUGACCUCCAUUCCCCAGAAAUCUGAGGGACGCCUAUCUGCCAGCCAAGGGAGAAGCUGGGUCCUGGGAGAGGCAGAGCAGAAGGGAGAGCAUUUCCAGGGAGAGUGGGGGUGAGCUCUCUGGACUAGGAGGUGUGCCAACAGAGACAAAGGGUGUUGGGGGGAGGGGUUCUGGCAUCAGGUGAAAAAUAGAAGAGAAAGAUCUAGAGGAGACUGUGUGUGUAUGAGAGAGGUGAGUGUGUCUGUCUCCCGUGAUGGCAGGAAUGUGAAAGUCCUGGGCUCUGGAGCCAGAGCCUGGGCUGAAAUACAGUUACCACCACUUCUUGGCUGUGUGACCUUAGGUAAAUUACUUUACCUCUCUGUGUGUCAAUUUCCUUGUUUGUUAAAAAGGGAGAUGCUAGAGUGUGGCCAAGCCACUAGGGGCUAACCUCACCCACUAGCACACCUGCAGCAGCUGUAGCCAAACCUGUCAGCUAGCCAUGCUGGUCGGUGACCAGCCCUCCGCACCAGCAAGCCUGCAGCAGUCAAGGCCACGUCACAACAGGAGGGUAUAUGUAGCACACACAGGUGAUACCUCUGGAGUCCUGGUACUAGUGAACAGGAAGGAUUGUGCUAUUGGGCCCCACAGGACAACUUCUACAUAAGACCACUACUUUCAAGUCCAGGAUUCAUAACUGACCUACCUAAUACAUAGAAACAAACACAGAAAAAAUGGGGAGAAGAAUAUGUUCCAAAUGAAAGAAUAAAACAAAACCUCAAAAAAACAAAACAAAACAAAACAAAACAUAAACAAUCUACCUGGUAAAGAGUUCAAAGUAACAGUCAUAAAAAUGCUCACCAGACUUGAGAGAAGAGUAGAUGAACUCAGAACUUCAACAAAGAUACAGAAAAUAUAAAAAAAGAACCAAGCAGAGCGGAAUAAUUUAAUAACUGAAAUGAAAAAUACACUCUAGUGUAUUUUUAGC